rnacentral:rRNA from 1 species
GUCUACGGCCAUGCCACCCUGAACAAGCCCAAUCCCGUCUGAUCUCGGAAGCUAAGCAGGGUCGGGCCUGGUUAGUACUUGGAUGGGAGACCACCUAGGAAGACCAAGUGCUGUAGGCG